UACAGAGGUCCCAAGCGUUGUUCGGAUUCACUGGGCGUAAAGGGUGCGUAGGCGGUUGGGUAAGUCUGAUGUGAAAUCUCACAGCUUAACUGUGAAAACUGCAUUGGAUACUAUCCGGCUAGAGGAAUGGAGGGGAGACUGGAAUACUUGGUGUAGCAGUGAAAUGCGUAGAUAUCAAGUGGAACACCAGUGGCGAAGGCGAGUCUCUGGACAUUUCCUGACGCUGAGGCACGAAAGCCAGGGGAGCAAACAGG
rnacentral:rRNA from 1 species